GACGAACGCUGGCGGCGUGCUUAACACAUGCAAGUCGAACGGAAAGGCCCUGCUUUUGUGGGGUGCUCGAGUGGCGAACGGGUGAGUAACACGUGAGUAACCUGCCCUUGACUUUGGGAUAACUUCAGGAAACUGGGGCUAAUACCGGAUAGGAGCUCCUGCUGCAUGGUGGGGGUUGGAAAGUUUCGGCGGGUGGGGAUGGACUCGCGGCUUAUCAGCUUGUUGGUGGGGUAGUGGCUUACCAAGGCUUUGACGGGUAGCCGGCCGGAGAGGGUGACCGGCCACAUUGGGACUGAGAUACGGCCCAGACUCCUACGGGAGGCAGCAGUGGGGAAUAUUGCACAAUGGGCGGAAGCCUGAUGCAGCAACGCCGCGUGCGGGAUGACGGCCUUCGGGUUGUAAACCGCUUUCGCCUGUGACGAAGCGUGAGUGACGGUAAUGGGUAAAGAAGCACCGGCUAACUACGUG
rnacentral:rRNA from 1 species